GAUGAAGAACGUAGCGAAAUGCGAUAAGUAGUGUGAAUUGCAGAAUUCAGUGAAUCAUCGAAUCUUUGAACGCACAUUGCGCCCCUUGGUAUCCCGAGGGGCAUGCCUGUUCGAGCGUCAUUUCACCACUCAAGCCUGGCUUGGUGUUGGGCGACGUCCCCUUUGGGGACGCGCCUCGAAACGCUCGGCGGCGUGGCACCGGCUUUAAGCGUAGCAGAAUCUUUCGCUUUGGAAGUCGGGGCCCCGUCUGCCGGAAGACCUACUCACAAGGUUGACCUCGGAUCAGGCAGGGAUACCCGCUGAACUUAAGCAUAUCAAUAAGCGGAGGA
rnacentral:misc_RNA from 1 species